UUGCGAGGCGAGCCACAGGGCGACAUCCUGGGGGAUCCGCAAGGCGAGGCGGACGUCGAAUGCGGUUUCAGUUUGAAGGACUGCGAGUUGCUGAGUGUGAACGGACCCGUCUCUCCCGAGCCAACUAAGAAGGCCUCGCUCAUGUUGGCUUAACAUAGAGCUUGACUACAGUCGUCCAAAUGUUGACUUGCAGAUCAGGUAGUCCAUCUCAAAGUACCUCAAUAAAAUUCUCAAAAAAAGCAGGUAAAUGUAACGAAAUCUAUAAUGUUGCACGUCAUGCAUGUUUUCUGCACUCUAUGAGGGGACACAGGCACGAGUGCUGAGAGGAAACCCUCCCUACUGCUGCUGCUGGUGUUUACAAAGCACUGAGCCCUGCCUAAAUAUGGCCAAGCCUGAAUUAUAGACGUCAUCUAAUACCGUAGGUGACUGCCUGUGCCCAGCAACCACUUCCUGCAGAAGACAACUAGCAACACCAGUCGGUUUCCUUCUUCAACACAUGGAUGUGCAGACAUUAACCAGUGUGUGCAGACGAAUACCAGAGCAGUUUUGUGUCAUGGGUCAGCAUCAGAGAUAGGGGCUUUCCUUGUGGUGGCGGACUGUCAUAACGUUUGAUCCAGCAAUGAUCCAGCACUGUCUUGGACUCAAUGCUGGCAUAUAAAGCACCCUAAUGGAGAUUGGCGGCAAGGAAUUCACAGUGUCCUCCUACUACAACCAAGUCGCCAUAUUGCUCCAAGUUAUCAGAGUCCGGAGCUGUGGAGACCCACUGCCGGGUAGAUUGAAGGGUGUUGCCCCCAAGAAUACAUCAGCCCUGAAGGAGGAGUGUCUCCCCUGCGCUGCUCGACUACGGUCUGGGAGACGGAAGCAGGAAAGGUGCAACACAUGUUUGACGUGUUGUCAGAAGCAGCUGCUGAACAAUAUCGGCAAAACACCGUCCUCCAUGGUUGUAUUGCGCAGCCAAAGUGUUCCCAAACGGGAGAUCUUAACGAGGCAGUAGGGUCUUACAGCUCUGGCCUUUACAUGUUGUCCUAGCAUGCUGCAAGCAUGUGUACUCGUUCGGUACACCUCCGAACCGAACCGAAAACCCCGUACCGAAACGGUUUAAUACAAAUACACGUACCGUUACACUUCUAGUGCAAAGUCAAUCUUAAAGGGGAACUGCACUUUUCUGGGAUUUUGCCUAUCAUUCACAAUCCUUAUGUAAUACAAGAACACCUAUGUUUUUAUAUUUUUACCGCAUUCAAAAUAAAUGUUAGCAAAAGUCAGGUAACAAUGGAACCAAUGAGGGUUGCUCGAUUUCGUCUAUAAAGCACUCUUAAAAAAAACCUCCAUCAACAUUUUAUAUAUGUGUUGUAAGCAUCUAUGUAAUGUAGUAACAGGCACAUUCACAAUAACAUGUAAUACUUACAUGUUUUGUCCAUUUCAAACAUACGGCGGCAUAUUCAUUACACAAAUGCAUCAUAACAUUCACUUUUUUCUUCAAAACAACUUCUAUUCAUGCAGACUUCAUGAUAACCAUCAAUGAUUACUUUGGGACAAAUGAUCCUUAUAUUUUUGAGUCUAAAUAAAAGGCGGAUGAUCAACAAGUUUUAGAAGCUGAGUGCCAAACAGAUCCAGCUUCGGUGAAACACUAAGCAUUGUGUAGCAGAGUUGCUUAGUGCUAAAAAAAAGUAAUGACAUAAUGAAACAAUCACUUACUGUACAAUGUCUUCUCUCAAUGGGAUGCCAGUAGCACGAGUGGUACACGUACCACGGUUUAAGAAAGACUGAUCUAGAAUUAACUUUUACCAGAAACAAACCAAAACAUUAUCACUGUUAUGAAUGAUGUCCAAUUUAAAACGGCAUUAUGGGAUAAAGCACGGGCAUUUUGAAUACACAUUUUCUCUACAUUCAAAGAUGAGAACAACAAAUUGAACUGCACUGGAAUCGGCAUAUCAAACUGCAAGUAGGAUUCUUGUAAUGUCGAUGACACAAAACCAAAAAUCCACACAGUGCUCACUUUUAAAUAGCAUGGAUUUGGGGCAACACAAAGACUAAUUUUUAGAUGCAGUGAUAAUAAAAUAAUGCAUGACUUAAGUGAUUCGACACAAUUUUUCACAAAAAAACCCCCAAAAAAGAGGAAUAAAUAGCUAAAAUUAGGCAACCUCCCGCCUAUCAAAUUCCAACGAAAAUUAACACAGAAGUACUAACUGGUGAGCUAGUUAAGCAGCUGUGUUAUGGAGUAAAAUGCAGAGUAUAUUGCCCUUAAAUGGGAACUGAACUUUUUUGGGAAUUUUGCCUAUCGUUCACAAUCAUUAUGAAACCCAUGACGAUGGAUAGAUUUAAAAAAAAAAAUGCAUUUUAACUUGUAAAAAAACGUAAAUAAAAGUCAGUUUAAAGCGGAGCCAAUGGGAGUUCCUCUAUUUCACCCAUAAAAUCCAAUAAAUAACCAUUCAAAAAUCGGCAACAAUACUCCAUUUACACUUUGUGACUUGAAUAUUACCCAAGUAUGGUAUUAGUAAUAUUUUUAUUAUAAUCGCUAACGUAAACUAUUUAUAGCGACAUGCUCUACUGGCGAGGUGUUUCCUCACUUCCUUUCUCCCUGGAAGUUUAUUGCAGAUCAUAAAACAUGCAUCUCACCUAGACAGAAGAAGUCUGAGGAUGUAUUCCGACAAAUUGGUACACUUUGACACGAAAGGACGCUAAGUCAGUAACCCCUGUACCACCGUGCUGCCAAAAUUGUAUUGUGUUAAUUAAAAUGUGAAAGGUACACCUCCCUAUGUGUCAUACGAUCAGUGUUUCAGACGAAGCUGCUCCACGACUUUAGAAAUGGUCCAUAUCGCAUUCUCGGACACUUGGAAUGGACAAAAGUGGAGAAAAUAAUGACUAUACACAAAAAACAUUUAUGAGUGAGAAAAGAUGGCAUCUCUUUUUUUCUGUGACUAAUGCUGGGAUUGGAACUAUUUAUUGGAGUGAGUCACACAUCAUUCCUCCUCCCAUCAGCAGAUCCGACACAAAAAAGCUGUCACAAAAAGACACAAUUCCUCAUCCAGCGCACACAAACCUGUGUUAAAUCACCCAAAAAGGCCUUGAACUCUACACUUACACACAGCAAGUUUAUUUUCCUCAGAGCUUUUCUUAAUUACAACAAAAUGGCCUAUUCACCUAAUUAUGUAAUUGAAAAUUACAUUAGAAAAGCCUCCAUAUGGACACAUCAUGGAGACGGUACUUACAGUACUUGACUUGAAAGUUACUGUGUUCUGUUAAUGUAAAUUACUCCAUCUUGCUGUCCAUUUUCAUUUCAUUUGUUUUCUAUUUAUAUUACUAAUGUAUUCAUUUUUAUUUUAAUAAUAUAAUUAAAUAAAAUAUAUUUUAAUUUGAAACAAUUUUAUUUUAAUUUAAUUCAAUUAAGAAAUUAGAAAAAAUAUGGAUGAAUAGGAAUUAAAUACAAUUUAGUUAAAUAAAAGUAUUGCUUUUUAUUUUGUUUGUGUUGAAAAGUGAAGGGAGAGGAGGUGGAUUGGUUGGUUGGUGUCACUUUAUUUCGAACAUGCAUACAAUUACAAUGUAAUAAAUCACAUAUUUCCAGUUGUUUCAUUAUAUUUCCAGCAGUUUCAUUACAGCAUGUCCAAAAAGGAGUACGAAGAAGCAGAGUUUAUUUAAUCCUACCCCUGUUCAUAUGAUAGCAGUUUUAACCAUUCGUUUGUUCUCUAUUUGUAAGACUACGGUGAAUAAAAAAUUUUAUAUACAAUGUGUACGGUGAGUAAAUUGUUUUACUAUAAAAAAAAAUUGGA